rnacentral:rRNA from 1 species
AUUGAACGCUGGCGGCAGGCCUAACACAUGCAAGUCGAACGAGUGGCGGACGGGUGAGUAAUGUCUGGGAAACUGCCCGAUGGAGGGGGAUAACUACUGGAAACGGUAGCUAAUACCGCAUACCAUCGGAUGUGCCCAGAUGGGAUUAGCUAGUAGGGGGGGUAACGGCUCACCAAGGCGACGAGCCCUAGCUGGUCUGAGAGGAUGACCGGCCACCUUGGAACGGAGACACGGUCCAGACUCCUAGGGGGGGCAGCAGUGGGGAUUAUGGCACAAUGGGCGCAGGCCUGCUGCAGCCAUGCCGGGUGUAUGAAGAAGGCUUUCGGGUUGUAAAGUACUUUCAGCGAGGAGGCGUUACUCGCAGAAGAAGCACCGGCUAACUCCGUGCCAGCAGCCGCGGUAAUA